rnacentral:rRNA from 1 species
GAUGAACGCUAGCGGCAGGCUUAAUACAUGCAAGUCGAGGGGCAGCAGUCCCGCAGCAAUGCGGGAGCUGGCGACCGGCAAACGGGUGCGGAACACGUACAGAACCUUCCUUCGAGCGGGGAAUAGCCCAGAGAAAUUUGGAUUAAUACCCCAUAGCAUUACGAAGUGGCAUCACUUUGUAAUUAAAGAUUUAUCACUCGAAGAUGGCUGUGCGGCUGAUAGGUAGUUGGCGGAGUAACGGCCCACCAAGCCUUCGAUCAGUAACUGGUGUGAGAGCACGACCAGUCACACGGGCACUGAGACACGGGCCCGACUCCUACGGGAGGCAGCAGUAAGGAAUAUUGGUCAAUGGACGAAAGUCUGAACCAGCCAUGCCGCGUGGAGGAUGAAGGUCCUCUGGAUUG